GACGAACCGUGCGAACGUUAUUCGGAAUCAUUGGGCUUAAAGGGCGCGUAGGCGGCUCAUGAAGGCUGUGGUGAAAGUCCGGGGCUCAACCUCGGAUCGGCCGUGGCGACUCGUGGGCUGGAGCACUGUAGAGGCGGGUGGAAUUCCGGGUGUAGCGGUGGAAUGCGUAGAGAUCCGGAAGAACACCAGUGGCGAAGGCGGCCCGCUGGGCAGUGGCUGACGCUGAGGCGCGACAGCGUGGGGAGCAAACAGG
rnacentral:rRNA from 1 species